AUUCCUUUCUGUCGUGUCCGACCACACAAAACAAAUCUGCUCACGCACACUGUCGUUGCCGUAAGCCGUCCACGUCGCCGUCGGGCCGUCCAGGGUUCGGCGUCACCGCCCCAGCUCCGGCAUCGCCGCCCCUCUCCCGGACGCUACCAUAGCUCGUCGACGCCGAUCAGCUCGGCGCUUUAACUCAGCGAGUCAAUGCGCUCAUUGCCUAUGAGACUAUGAUGAUCCCUACCACGCCAAUUUGAUCACCUUUGCUACUGAUGAAGAAAAGACUGGAAGCAAGCGCGUAGGCCGUAGGACACGGUACGUGUUGCUCGUCCCACAACAGCAAACUUCAAAAGCAACGAGCACCACCAAAACCUUGGAAGUUCUGCAUAUUUUCUUAACAACGGGUUGCAAAUUUCAUAAUAGCGGUAGGGCUGCAACUUCUUAUCAGCAAAUUCUUGCCACAACCACAGGCAACUUGGGUUCUCUGCAUUCUAGUACUAGUGUAUUAAUUAAAGAGCAUAAUAGACAUCCAUGACAA